CGCUCCACUGGGCUGUCUGUCUGUCCCCGCCUCGCCUCGCAGACUUUCUCUGGGAGCCGCUGCAGAGGCGCUGGCGAAAGCACCACCACCAAGAGUCAUGCUCAGAAGGAAUUUUUUUUGUUUUCUUCUCGCUCUCUCUUUUUUUAAGAGAACUCGGCCGCCUUCCAGCGCUGGCCGCCAGGAAUCCUCUGGGCUUCUUUAGAAGGAUCUGGCUCGCCCCACGCCCGCCCCCUCGCCGGCCUCGGCUCAGUUUCCCUCCCCUUUAUUCCUCCCCGGGGCGGGAGGCCCGUUUCCUUCCGCUACGGCCGGCCCGGCUGGGGCUGUCGGAAGAUGCGAGCGUCCCCCAGGAAGACCAGGAGCCUCACUCUUUCAAGGAGGGUCUGGCUGCUCCCUUUGAAGUUUGAGGGUGGGGUCAGAGCUCCUCGCGGCUCCCCUCCCCCGACAGAAGCUCUCCCUAAGAGCUGGCUGUCUUCAGAGGCUUUGCCAGGCCCUCCCCGCUGCUGCCCAGGUGAGGAGGAAGGCUUCAGAGAUGAGAGUCAACUUGCCAGGCCUCCUCUCCUUCUGAGUCUGGAACGGCUGUUUACUUCCUUUAAAAUAAUAAGCUGUAAGCAGUUUAUGAACACUUGUAAAACCUGAAGGCAUAGCCAUAGAGGAGGAUCCUGCAGAAGCCUAGGAAGGAGAAUGUUCCAUGGAGGAAAUGAUUUGGCAUCUGAGGCUGCAGGGAGAUGGAGUAAGAUGGAGAUGGAAAAGGCUCCUUCGAAUCUGGGGGCCCAUUGGUGACUUUGGUGAGGAUAGUGACCUGGACCAUGAGAAUAAAAACCAGAUUGCAAAAGGUUACUUACCUUAUAAUAGUUUGUAUUAAUGGACAUUUGAGGAAUCAUAAAAUUGAGACACGAAUGGAAGAUAAGGAGGUGGGCAGGGAAUAGAGACUUUAAAAAACAGGGGUUUCAAUCUGGGGUUCACAGAUCCCCUGCAAGGGAUCUAUGGAUAGAAUUCAGGGGAUCCAUGAACUUGGGUGGGAAAAAAAAUUUUGAUUUUUCACUCACUUCUAACUAAAAUUUAGCCUUUCCUUCAAUUGUGACUAUAGGCAUCACACUUCAGUAGCAUUAGCAGUGCCCAUGACUUUAUCAUCUGUAAAAAUCACAGCUAUUUUUAUGUCACACUACAGUUGCUGCAGAUGUCGUAAAAUAUUGUUUAUAAUCAUCACUACUUAAAAAUGUGGGAGUCAUCAGACCCACUUCAAGAUCUUAUUUAAUGCAGUAAUAAGGACACACAAAAAUAAAGAUGCACAUGUAUUACUAAGUCACAAAUUUUAAAAAUAUUUUGUAACAACUGUAUUUCAAUAUAAUUGGUUUCACGGUCAUCCUCUGUAUAUUGUUAUAUGCAUUCAAAAACAUUAUCCACCAGACUGCCAAAGGCAACGUGGUGUGAAAAAGUUUAAGAAUUCUGGCUGUAAAGGAAAAGAGAGAAAGGAAGACAUACAGCAAAUGGGAACGUAGUGUCUGGGAACACUGCUUUUUAGAACAGAGGAGAGGCUUCCGUGUUGACAUAGGGAGGGGACAGAGGGGAUUUUGAGAACCCAGUCCCCGAGGAGGCUGCAGCUUUUGAGAUGCAGCGCUCAGGUGGAGGGAUUAACUACAGGAAGGAAACUUUUCCCACAAUAAAUGAGAGGAAAGGAUGAGUGUAGAUAAAAAUAAGUGUUUUAGUGGGGUGGGAGUCGGGGGCAGGAAGUUGACUGGGCUUCUGACUGAUGGCUUCUAUUUUCACUGUCAAGUAGGAGUGAAGCUAUCUGCUGAGAGUGAGAAUGAGAGGGGAGGUGAUAAAGGUAGGGAACAGAAGAGAGGCUGAUAAGGCCAAGUAGGACUACCAGCCCAGUGGGUGGAGAGGGGUGGGGCAGUUAGAGAAGUCAAGUUGUCAUGGCAACAGUCUGAGUGGGUGUGCUCUGUCUCCAGCAGUGUUGGGCUGCCGGGAUAUGGGAGUCAGAGGGCAGAAAGUCAGCUAGAUCCAGGGCUGGGGUUCUACCCGGAGGACAGGUGAAGAUCAGGGAAUAAAGGAGGGAUGGAUCAGAUUGUCCAGGCUGAGUGAAGAAGAAUGUGGAGCUAGGAAGUGGCUGAUAGUUUGGAGUGAAAUCGACAUUAGGAAGAAGAAUAGGAGAAAGGGAAUCAGGAAGUGGUGGUACAGGAGUGCACCAGUCAAGUUUAAGGUUAAGGAUUAGUUCGUGGGAUGGCCAGUGCUGAGGUCUGACCAUAGGGUGGGUGACAAGUAGAGAAAUAGUACACGGCAUUGGAGGUGAAGAGAUCAAGGAACAGCCAGUCCAGUCAGCACCAUCCAUAUGGAUGCAAAAGCCACCCCGGAUGAAGGAUGAUGGUGCUGGUCCUAACUGCUUUUACCUCGAAGUCCCUGAUGGCCCUCUCCUUUCUUCUUCUGAAUUUGUGUCAGUCUAGGAAUUCGUACAUCUAAACACGUCAGACUUUUGUUGAAAAUAAGGGAUCUGUCCGUUCCAGGCAAGUCAACAUGCAGAAUUGGCUUAACUGAGUUCAGGAGAGGAGGACUCAUGGUCCACAUGGCCACUCAUUGCACCUGAGGACAGCACUGAUGGUGUGGAAGUUCUUCCUGCUGCGGGGCUGGAGCCCCCCCUCCAUGGUUGCCUCCACUGGUGCUCGUUCUGCUCCUUGGAGCGUCACAGAACAAGUCUCUCGCCUCUUGCGGUUGGCAGCCCAUCGUAAAUUUGGCAGCUAUUGCAUCUCCUCCGAAGUUUUCCCUUCCAGGUGAGGAAAGACCAUUUACUAGUUGUGGAAUCCUGAGCUUCACUUUCCUCUGAGCUUCUGUUUCCUCAUUUGUAGAAACUGGGAUAAAACAGUACCUAACUACGUAGUUGUUGUCAAAAUUAAAUGAGCUCAUAUAUGUAAAGUGCUUGGAACAGUGCUUGGUGCAUAUUAAGUGCUCAAUAAUAAUUUCAAUAUUAUUUUGUAUUAUAUUACAUAGAGCAUUAAAAUUGGACAACUUAUAUUUUGAGACAUUUUAUUUAAUUGAAAAACCCCAGAAAAACAAAAUAUAUGAUCACAUGCAAAAAUUGUAUUUGUGUUCAGCAGUCCAUCUCUCGCUUUUUGAGUAUUUGUCCAUUACUUUAAGAAUUUUGUUAAAAUACUUCAUAUCCAUUUAUAUUGUAUGUUAAUAUAUGUACAUUGCAUAUUAAUUUAAAAUAUUGUAAACAUUAUAAAUAUAUAUUGUAUACUUAUUAUAUACUAAUACAAUUAAUAAUUGUAGAGUUAAGUUAGUGUUAACUUUUUUGCUGUUCAUGACAUGAAAAAUGAGUGAACUUGUUUCCUUGCUUGCUACUCUUGUGUAAAUCAAAUAUAGCCACUUGUUUUUGAAAUAACCCUAAACUCUCAUGUCUCCCAUAGUUUUCAGAUAGAGAGUAAAAAUCUGGGAGAAAUAAGAAUGUGUUGGUUUCUACCCCCAGAAAAUAAGUUUUCUUCUUCUCUUUUGUUAUUGGCAUCUGUUUUUCAUACCCACCUGACUGUCAUCAUCUACCUGUGGGCCCUUUACCUCUGACUUCUCUUCCUAUUUACUCUUCUACUCAUUUACACUUAAAUAUAAUUGUUUUUUGUUUUUUUUUGACUGAGGACGAUUCACC